GGGGCGGUAGCUCAGUUGGGAGAGCGCGUCGUUCGCAAUGACGAGGUCAGGGGUUCGAUUCCCCUCGGCUCCACCA
rnacentral:tRNA from 1 species